GACAGAGGGUGCAAACGUUUGUUCGGAAUUACUGGGCGUAAAGCGCACGUAGGCGGCUUCUUAAGUCGGUGGUGAAAUCCUGGAGCUCAACUCCAGAACUGCCUUCGAUACUGGGAAGCUCGAGUCCGGGAGAGGUGAGUGGAACUGCGAGUGUAGAGGUGAAAUUCGUAGAUAUUCGCAAGAACACCGGUGGCGAAGGCGGCGAUCUGGGUCGAUACUGACGCUGAGGUGGCGAAAAGCGUGGGGAGCAAACAGG
rnacentral:rRNA from 1 species